rnacentral:rRNA from 2 species
UUAAGCGACUAAGCGUACACGGUGGAUGCCCUGGCAGUCAGAGGCGAUGAAGGACGUGCUAAUCUGCGAUAAGCGUCGGUAAGGUGAUAUGAACCGUUAUAACCGGCGAUUUCCGAAUGGGGAAACCCAGUGUGUUUCGACACACUAUCAUUAACUGAAUCCAUAGGUUAAUGAGGCGAACCGGGGGAACUGAAACAUCUAAGUACCCCGAGGAAAAGAAAUCAACCGAGAUUCCCCCAGUAGCGGCGAGCGAACGGGGAGGAGCCCAGAGCCUGAAUCAGUGUGUGUGUUAGUGGAAGCGUCUGGAAAGGCGCGCGAUACAGGGUGACAGCCCCGUACACAAAAAUGCACAUAUUGUGAGCUCGAUGAGUAGGGCGGGACACGUGGUAUCCUGUCUGAAUAUGGGGGGACCAUCCUCCAAGGCUAAAUACUCCUGACUGACCGAUAGUGAACCAGUACCGUGAGGGAAAGGCGAAAAGAACCCCGGCGAGGGGAGUGAAAAAGAACCUGAAACCGUGUACGUACAAGCAGUGGGAGCCUCUUAAUGGGGUGACUGCGUACCUUUUGUAUAAUGGGUCAGCGACUUAUAUUCUGUAGCAAGGUUAACCGAAUAGGGGAGCCGAAGGGAAACCGAGUCUUAACUGGGCGUUAAGUUGCAGGGUAUAGACCCGAAACCCGGUGAUCUAGCCAUGGGCAGGUUGAAGGUUGGGUAACACUAACUGGAGGACCGAACCGACUAAUGUUGAAAAAUUAGCGGAUGACUUGUGGCUGGGGGUGAAAGGCCAAUCAAACCGGGAGAUAGCUGGUUCUCCCCGAAAGCUAUUUAGGUAGCGCCUCGUGAAUUCAUCUCCGGGGGUAGAGCACUGUUUCGGCAAGGGGGUCAUCCCGACUUACCAACCCGAUGCAAACUGCGAAUACCGGAGAAUGUUAUCACGGGAGACACACGGCGGGUGCUAACGUCCGUCGUGAAGAGGGAAACAACCCAGACCGCCAGCUAAGGUCCCAAAGUCAUGGUUAAGUGGGAAACGAUGUGGGAAGGCCCAGACAGCCAGGAUGUUGGCUUAGAAGCAGCCAUCAUUUAAAGAAAGCGUAAUAGCUCACUGGUCGAGUCGGCCUGCGCGGAAGAUGUAACGGGGCUAAACCAUGCACCGAAGCUGCGGCAGCGACACUAUGUGUUGUUGGGUAGGGGAGCGUUCUGUAAGCCUGUGAAGGUGGCCUGUGAGGGUGGCUGGAGGUAUCAGAAGUGCGAAUGCUGACAUAAGUAACGAUAAAGCGGGUGAAAAGCCCGCUCGCCGGAAGACCAAGGGUUCCUGUCCAACGUUAAUCGGGGCAGGGUGAGUCGACCCCUAAGGCGAGGCCGAAAGGCGUAGUCGAUGGGAAACAGGUUAAUAUUCCUGUACUUGGUGUUACUGCGAAGGGGGGACGGAGAAGGCUAUGUUGGCCGGGCGACGGUUGUCCCGGUUUAAGCGUGUAGGCUGGUUUUCCAGGCAAAUCCGGAAAACCAAGGCUGAGGCGUGAUGACGAGGCACUACGGUGCUGAAGCGACAAAUGCCCUGCUUCCAGGAAAAGCCUCUAAGCAUCAGGUAACAUCAAAUCGUACCCCAAACCGACACAGGUGGUCAGGUAGAGAAUACCAAGGCGCUUGAGAGAACUCGGGUGAAGGAACUAGGCAAAAUGGUGCCGUAACUUCGGGAGAAGGCACGCUGAUAUGUAGGUGAAGCGACUUGCUCGUGGAGCUGAAAUCAGUCGAAGAUACCAGCUGGCUGCAACUGUUUAUUAAAAACACAGCACUGUGCAAACACGAAAGUGGACGUAUACGGUGUGACGCCUGCCCGGUGCCGGAAGGUUAAUUGAUGGGGUUAGCGGUAACGCGAAGCUCUUGAUCGAAGCCCCGGUAAACGGCGGCCGUAACUAUAACGGUCCUAAGGUAGCGAAAUUCCUUGUCGGGUAAGUUCCGACCUGCACGAAUGGCGUAAUGAUGGCCAGGCUGUCUCCACCCGAGACUCAGUGAAAUUGAACUCGCUGUGAAGAUGCAGUGUACCCGCGGCAAGACGGAAAGACCCCGUGAACCUUUACUAUAGCUUGACACUGAACAUUGAGCCUUGAUGUGUAGGAUAGGUGGGAGGCUUUGAAGUGUGGACGCCAGUCUGCAUGGAGCCGACCUUGAAAUACCACCCUUUAAUGUUUGAUGUUCUAACGUUGGCCCCUAAUCGGGGUUGCGGACAGUGUCUGGUGGGUAGUUUGACUGGGGCGGUCUCCUCCUAAAGAGUAACGGAGGAGCACGAAGGUUGGCUAAUCCUGGUCGGACAUCAGGAGGUUAGUGCAAUGGCAUAAGCCAGCUUGACUGCGAGCGUGACGGCGCGAGCAGGUGCGAAAGCAGGUCAUAGUGAUCCGGUGGUUCUGAAUGGAAGGGCCAUCGCUCAACGGAUAAAAGGUACUCCGGGGAUAACAGGCUGAUACCGCCCAAGAGUUCAUAUCGACGGCGGUGUUUGGCACCUCGAUGUCGGCUCAUCACAUCCUGGGGCUGAAGUAGGUCCCAAGGGUAUGGCUGUUCGCCAUUUAAAGUGGUACGCGAGCUGGGUUUAGAACGUCGUGAGACAGUUCGGUCCCUAUCUGCCGUGGGCGCUGGAGAACUGAGGGGGGCUGCUCCUAGUACGAGAGGACCGGAGUGGACGCAUCACUGGUGUUCGGGUUGUCAUGCCAAUGGCACUGCCCGGUAGCUAAAUGCGGAAGAGAUAAGUGCUGAAAGCAUCUAAGCACGAAACUUGCCCCGAGAUGAGUUCUCCCUGACUCCUUGAGAGUCCUGAAGGAACGUUGAAGACGACGACGUUGAUAGGCCGGGUGUGUAAGCGCAGCGAUGCGUUGAGCUAACCGGUACUAAUGAACCGUGAGGCUUAACCUU